ensembl:lncRNA
ACCCCAGAAAUGGGGUCAGGAACCCCAAAAACGGGGUCAGGAACCCCAAAAACAGGUCAGGAACACCAAAAACGGGAUCAGGAACCCCAAAAACGGGGUCAGGAACCCCAAAAACGGGGUCAGGAACACCAGAAAUGGGGUCAGGAACACCAGAAAUGGGUCAGGAACACCAGAAAUGGGUCAGGAAACCCAGAAAUGGGUCAGGAACCCCAAAAACGGGGUCAGGAACCCCAAAAACGGGGUCAGGAACACCAAAAACGGGGUCAGGAACCCCAAGAAAUGGAAUCGCACUGGCCGCAGUCCUCGGGGCGCCGGCACGCCUCGCACUCGCCACACAUGCGGGCAGAGCGCUUGAUCUGCGCCAGAAACGGGGUCAGGAACCCCAAAAACGGGGUCAGGAACCCCAAAAACGGGGUCAGGAACACCAAAAACGGGGUCAGGAACACCAGAAAUGGGUCAGGAACCCCAAAAACGGGGUCAGGAACACCAGAAAUGGGAUCAGGAACACCAGAAAUGGGUCAGGAACCCCAAAAAUGGGAUCAGGAACACCAGAAACGGGGUCAGGAACACCAGAAAUGGGUCAGGAACACCAGAAACGGGGUCAGGAACACCGGAAAUGGGAUCAGGAACACCGGAAAUGGGGUCAGGAACCCCAAAAAUGGGAUCAGGAACCCCAAAAACGGGGUCAGGAACACCAGAAAUGGGGUCAGGAACACCAGAAAAUGGGGUCAGGAACACCAGAAAUGGGUCAGUAACCCCAAAAACGGGGUCAGAAACCUCAAAAACGGGGUCAGAAACCUCAAAAACGGGGUCAGGAACCCCAGAAAUGGGUCAAGAACACCAAAACUGGUUCUGAAUAACAAGAUCCGAAACCCCGAAACCCGAGAGCUGGAACCGAGUCCAGAACCGAGUCCAGAACCGAGUCCAGAACCGAGUCUAGAACCGAGUCCGGAACCGAGUCCAGAACCGAGUCCAGAACCGAGUCCAGAACCGAGUCUAGAACCGAGUCCGGAACCGAGUCUAGAACCGAGUCCGGAACCGAGUCUAGAACCCCGAAACCUAGAACCGAGUCUAGAACCGAGUCUAGAACCCCGAAACCUAGAACCGAGUCUAGAACCCCGGAACCUAGAACCGAGUCUAGAACCGAGUCUAGAACCCCGGAACCUAGAACCGAGUCUAGAACCGAGUCUAGACCCCCGAGUUCUGGAACCCCGGAAAGCCCAGAAUCGAGUCUAGGGCCCCGGAAAUCCGAGACCUGGAACCCCGAAAACCAAGUCUGGGACCCCGGAACCGGCGACUGAGAGCCCCAAAAAACGAGAUUGAGAACCCCGAAAACGGCGAUCCUGAACCCCGAAAAACGGGAUCCGGACCCCCGGAAAUGGGGUCAGGAACCCCAAAAAUGGGGUCAGGCACCCCCAAAAUGGGGUUAGGAACCCCAAAAAUGGAGUCAGGAACCCCAAAAAUGGGAUUAGGUGCCCCAAAAUGGGAUCAGGAACCCCAAAAAUGGGAUUAAGUGCCCCAAAAAUGGGGUCAGGUACCCCAAAACUGAGUCAGGUACCCCAAAAAUUGAGGUACCCCAAAAAUGGAGUCAGGAGCCCCAAAAAUGGGGUCAGGAACCCCAAAACUGACUCAGGUACCCCAAAAAUGGAGUCAGGAACCCAAAAAAUGGGGUCAGGUACCCCAAAAAUGGGGUUAGGAACCCCAAAAAUGGGGUCAGGUACCCCAAAAAUGGAGGUACCCCAAAAAUGGAGUCAGGAGCCCCAAAAAUGGAGUCAGGAACCCCAAAACUGACUCAGGUACCCCAAAAAUGGGGUCAGGUACCCCAAAAAUGGGGUUAUGAACCCCAAAAAUGGGGUUAGGUGCCCCAAAAAUGGGGUCAGGUACCCCCAAAAACUGAGGAACCCCAAAACCAGAUCAAGAACCCCAAAAAUCCAUCUGGGGCACCCCAAAACACACGCAGGGAACCCCAAGCCGGGUGCAAUCCCAGACCCCUCAGGGAUCCCCCAAAUCCCCCCCAGCAAAAUCCUCAUCCUAAAGGGCCUGGGGCCCCUCCCAGCCCCCCCAGGUUUUGGGGUGUCCCCUGUGAUUUUUUGGGGUGCCCUGAGCCCCCCCAAGCCCACCUUGGCAGCUCGGCCCUGCUCCAGCUCCUGGCCCUUGGUGCCCUCGUGCUCCUUCUCCCUCCACUUCUUGUGCCGGUACCG